GACGAACGCUGGCGGCGUGCUUAACACAUGCAAGUCGAACGGAAAGGCCCUGCUUUUGUGGGGUGCUCGAGUGGCGAACGGGUGAGUGACACGUGAGUAACCUGCCCUUGACUUUGGGAUAACUUCAGGAAACUGGGGCUAAUACCGGAUAGGAGCUCCUGCUGCAUGGUGGGGGUUGGAAAGUUUCGGCGGUUGGGGAUGGACUCGCGGCUUAUCAGCUUGUUGGUGGGGGAGUGGCUUACCAAGGCUUUGACGGGUAGCCGGCCUGAGAGGGUGACCGGCCACAUUGGGACUGAGAUACGGCCCAGACUCCUACGGGAGGCAGCAGUGGGGAAUAUUGCACAAUGGGCGGAAGCCUGAUGCAGCAACGCCGCGUGCGGGAUGACGGCCUUCGGGUUGUAAACCGCUUUCGCCUGUGACGAAGCGUGAGUGACGGUAAUGGGUAAAGAAGCACCGGCUAACUACGUG
rnacentral:rRNA from 1 species